rnacentral:rRNA from 1 species
UGAGGAAUAUUGGUCAAUGGGCGCAAGCCUGAACCAGCCAUCCCGCGUGAAGGAAGAAGGCGCUAUGCGUUGUAAACUUCUUUUCCAGGGGGAGAAUUUUUCCGUCGUGACGGGAAUUGACGGUACUCUGGGAAUAAGCAUCGGCUAACUCCGUGCCAGCAGCCGCGGUAAUACGGAGGAUGCGAGCGCUAUCCGGAUUUAUUGGGUUUAAAGGGUGCGUAGGCGGAUAGAUAAGUCAGUGGUGAAAUUCUGCAGCUUAACUGUAGACUUGCCGUUGAUACUGUCAGUCUUGAGUAUGGUCAAGGCAGGCGGAAUGUGUAAUGUAGCGGUGAAAUGCUUAGAUAUUACACAGAACACCGAUUGCGAAGGCAGCUUGCUGGGCCAUUACUGACGCUGAUGCACGAAAGCGUGGGGA